rnacentral:misc_RNA from 1 species
GAGUUGAUCUCGCUGGCCUCCGCAUUGGUAUUAUUAAGUGAAAGUCUAGCUUGAGUUGAUCUCGUUAGCAAGUAUUGGAUUAAGAGAGCUAUACAAUGGAUCAACUCCUAUAUAUAUAUUGAUGUGAUACACAGAGUGUGUGAAUAGCUUCAAAUUAAUUUCUCGUGUGAAUAUUGAGUGAAUUAUUUGUUUUAUGUUUUAUUUGUUUUAUGCUAGAUAGUUAUAGAGAUUAUAUCUAUUAUCAAUAUUUAAAAUCUUUGAGUCGAAUGUUCAUUCCUGUUCAAAUAUUUUUUUUC